GUGAGGAAUAUUGGUCAAUGGGCGGGAGCCUGAACCAGCCAAGUCGCGUGAAGGAAGAAGGAUCUAUGGUUCGUAAACUUCUUUUGCAGGGGAAUAAAGUGCAGGACGUGUCCUGUUUUGUAUGUACCCUGAGAAUAAGGAUCGGCUAACUCCGUGCCAGCAGCCGCGGUAAUACGGAGGAUCCGAGCGUUAUCCGGAUUUAUUGGGUUUAAAGGGUGCGUAGGUGGUUUGAUAAGUCAGCGGUGAAAGUUUGCAGCUUAACUGUAAAAAUGCCGUUGAAACUGUCGGACUUGAGUGUAAAUGAGGUAAGCGGAAUGCGUGGUGUAGCGGUGAAAUGCAUAGAUAUCACGCAGAACUCCGAUUGCGAAGGCAGCUUACUAAGCUACAACUGACACUGAAGCACGAAAGCGUGGGGAUCAAACAGGAUUAGAAACCCCUGUAGUCC
rnacentral:rRNA from 1 species